GACAAUACACUUUUUUUAUGUUGACGUACUUUCUUACAUUUGUCUAUCUCUCUCGCCCGAUCUACUUUCUUUCUCUCUCUCCCCCCAACCAGUUUGAACGUGCAGAUCGGCGAUCUACGCUCUUUCACUCUCUUGUUUCUUUCUUUUCAUGUCUCUCCCCCCGAACGAAGAUCAGCUGAAGCUUUUGAGAAAACAGGACCCAACUGAGGGUAGCAGAACCGGAGCGAAGCUCUGUGAACAAACAACAACCAAACUGGUGAAUAACUCCAUCAACGUGCAGAUCGGCGAGACCCGGAAGUUUAAACACCGUGAACUCCGGCGAGCUUCAGUUCAGUACAGAGAUCUCCGGCGAGCUCUCUUACUCCCUCUACCAGACCAGGAAGCAAAUCGAACACUACCGACGCGCCGAACCAACUGAAGCUAGCAGAACCGGCGUGAAGCUCUGUGAGCAAACAACAACCAAACUGGUGAAUAACUCCAUCAACGUGCAGAUCGGCGAGACCCAGAAGUUUAAACACCAUGAACUCCGGCGAGCUUCAGUUCAGUACAGAGAUCUCCGGCGAGCUCUCUUACUCUCUCUACCAGACCAGGAAGCAAAUCGAACACUACCACCGCGCCGAACCAACUGAAGCUAGCAGAACCAGCGUUACCAAACUGAACGGUGAAGAAGUGAAGACCGGCGAGACCCAGAAGUUUAAACACCAUGAACUCCGGCGAUUCAGUUCAGUACAGAGAUAAACCAAUCGCCGUGAACAGUUCCGGCGAGCCCAUUAACAAAUCCAGAAGUGCGCGUGCUCCUGUUUAGGCAAACUUCAGUUUCGGUGAGUCAAUCCGGCGAGACGAGAAGUUCCGGUGAGCUCCAGCGAAGCCUCAACCUUCUCGACCCAACUGCAGUAAUGUUUUCCGGCGUGUUUCAGCGAUGACCGACGCGAGCUACAACAAACAACGUCGACCAAACUUCAGAGACAAGUUUAAGUCCGGCACCUAGAGUUCUCUAACUCCGGCGAGGCUCAAUCCACUCCGGCGAGUUUCAGUGAGUUGCCGGUGCGAACUUCAGGCGUAGCUUCAGUUCGUAGCACCUCUGUUACGGUGACCAGGCUGUUUCGGCGAGCUUCAAUCACUCCCAACUGCUCAGGCGAGUUUCAGUGUGUUACCGGUCCAAACUUACAGAUCCAAAGUGAAAACCCAUAUCAGAUUCCGCAUAGAACCGGGUUUGGUAUUGGAGAGGAAAUUGCCGGUGCUUGUACCUUUAUUUUUGUGGACUGAUCACCUAUUCAGUGACGGUUGUAAUGCACACACCAAAUAUUAUAUCGAACAGGACCUCAACCCCCCCUUGGGCAUCUAUGUGAAAUUUGUGUUUGUUCCAUAGCCAGAUCUGAAUUUGAGAAAAAGGAAUCGAAAUCCAAGACAUCUGGCGGUUAUCCUAUGAGCACUGGUCUUGGGAUUUUGAAAACUUAUUCUAGUCAAACUCCUCAGCUGGUCAAUAUUUUUGGGUUGACGGGCAGCCAAGUAUUCCUUUUGCGCUCAGGCAGACUGAUCUCCGCUUCUGAUUUUGUUUCCAAGCUUGAGGCAUCUCCUGGUGGAAUAUACCUUUCCAAAGACGAAUAUUGCCAAUGGUUGGCUGCUGCUCCAAAAAAGGAUUUUAUGGUAGAGCUUUUAAUGGAAGGCUGGUUAUGCGUUGUUGGAACAAAUGUGAAAUUAUUAGAUUCUAUAAAGACUGUUGUUGGAGAAAGACCUAGUUCUAUUUGUGCAUACGUUGAUGGGUCUUAAUGGCUUCCUUUAAGCGCACUAAAGGAAGCCAUUAAGACCCAUCAACGUAUGCACAAAUAGAACUAGCUUGAUAACCUUUAUUCCUCUGGGCAAGAGUUGUUACUCUUUGGGGAUUCUGUUGUUAUGCUGCUACUACACAUACCAAGAUAAUUUAGAAUUAGGUGAUUCUAUUAGUUAAUAUAUACUUCUCUUUUCCUUUUUAUCUAAAUUGAUUGGAAAAGAAAUUAUGUUCUUCACCAGCUAUUAAACUACAUAAAUGAUAUAGACAUAGAUAUAUUAUUUUCUCAAUCAAAUGGGGGACAUCGUAUAAACUUUAUUUAGCCAUCUCUCUGGCUUCCCUGCAAAGCUGCAGUUAGUCAAGCUUAAGCACCCUGCAUUUGAACUUGUCAAAUUGAUCUCUAACAAAUUAGAUAGAUUUGAGUGAGCUUCGAGGGCAUUGCUUUGAUUGUAGACAUCCACGGAUGGGACUUCCUCGUGUUCUGCUCUUCGAAAGGGUGUAGUAGAAGAAUCAGAAAAUUUGGUUCGACUCUUAUGGCUUUGCCGUCCUUUACGCAGCAAUCUUCUUUCGUGGCGCAUUUUCUCAAGUUGGUCGUACUAGGUUUUGACCAUAUUGGUUGAAGCCUGCCCCUUCCCUUGCAUCGUCAAAACGGCAAAACCUUUGAGCACAGACAGGCUAUCUAUCGAAUGCCCCCCCUACAACACCGUGGGUAAAGGAUGAUGUCAGUCACUUUCAAAUUCAUAUUCUUCGGUUUCAGCAUACGCUGCUCCAUCUGCCUCCCCACAGCACAGUGUAUUUCGGCUGAGAUCUUCAAUUGCUUCAUAAACUUGCCCAGAAAUAGUAUCCAGACCUGUAGGAUCUGUCGAGUUUCAUUCUUAAAUUCACAUCUCGAGCCUGCCCUUCGCUCCUUCCUAUUGCAUUUCAUUAAUUAAUGAACAAUCGCUCUAUGAAACAAUAGCUUCAUAGACUUGCACCUUUUGGAUUGACCUUUAACUGACAUCCAUCUAUUUCAGUAACAUCCAUCUCAAAUUAGGCCAAGUCAUAGAAAGAAAACUCAAAAUAAUGGAGAUUUUUUUCUAAUACUUUUUGUUAAAUAAAGUGAGUGAAUCGCUUUCCAUUAAUUAGCUCAUUGAACCGCCUUUGCUCUCUUUUUCACUUUGCCUUUGAAGCAGCUUGUGGCAUAUCAUCAGCUUUGCGGUGUAAAUGUUCUCAUUUUCUGAUUUCCAUCAUCAUUGCUGCCAUCAACACCAACCGAAACAUCUCUAUCAACAUCUUUGUCUAUAGAUAGAGGAAAGUCUUUCAAUUGGCUUUCUCGUUUCCCCAUCCUGACGAACGAAGUCCCGUCUAUCUCAACUUUCUUUCUAGUACUUCGUUUAAGCCAAUAAUAAAGACUCUGUAGCCACGAAAGCCUCGAAAGAAAGCAGAACGUGGGCUCUUUGUACAAAUAUGGAACAAACCUGAUGGGGAGGACUCAUUUACAGGGCAAAUAAUUCAUUUAGUUUAGUGAAAUAGUGUUCCUUGUGGAGACUUCCCAAACCUGGCUAAGGAAUCUGCAAUGCCACCGGUUUUGAAGUCAAUAGUGUGCAACUGCAGGGCUUCCCACAUCCUCUGGUUUGCUCGGUAAGGCUUCUGCGUUUGAUAACCCAUGUGGGAGUGUGUCAAGUUUUACUAAAGCGAUUUUACAUUUCAAAGGAACGGUUCCAUGUGCAGAAUCCAUUGACUACCUCUAAACCUUACAACUACAGUGAGGCAUCAACUAAUAGGUCGAUUUAAAGGUAGUCCAAACAUUUCAUAAAAGCCCCAAUACCUUGCAGUAUAUCCAUAAACUUUUGUUGUCUUCUAGUGACUUAUUGUACUAUAAUGCCAGCUAUAAUCUAUAAGGGGUGAACCAGUUUUAUAUUUUAAAAUCUUGUUUGGCAGAUCUUGGGUUGAAGGCUGUUGGUGCAUUUGUUGGCAGUUCAUAUUGCCUUCCCAGCACCUUCUAUGUUCUCAAUUUCUGGUUUUCUUUUUCAAUUGGGUUCUAAACUUUUUCCUUUGCAGAACUGAUCGUAAUUUUAACCGUAGUUGAAGGCUUAUCAUAAUUUUGUCAAGUUUUAUUUUAAUUCUUGUCCUCUUGUUUGCUGCAGGAAGGACUUUUGGUGGUUGUGAAAAUUCUGUUCCAUGGAAUGUCAUCUGAUACUAUUGAUACUUUAGGUGGUUUAUUAAUAUAUGUGGUUAUCAUACUUUUGAACAUGGUAUAUCUCGGUGGUUUAUUAUAUAGGUGAAUAUAUCUCUGUUUGGAUGUCACAUGUAUGAAUGUCAUGGGAAUAUCUCGGUGGUUUAUAUAAUGCGGGUGUCGGUUUAUUAUAUAGUUGAAUAUAUCUCUUUAAUUGCGAGAUUGUGGAUAUUAUAUGUAUGAACAUGUGUAGUGUAGUGUUUUAUUAUAUGUCGGGUGUCUCUUUAUUCGCGAAAUAUUGAGGACAUUAUAAUUAUAAUAGACUAAAACCAGCACUGUUUGGAUGUCAAUAUGUGAAUGUCACUUUGAUUAAAUAAUAAACCUUAGCAUUUCCUCGUGA